AUGCCUGCAAUUAUUGCUCCGUGGGCUGCCAGAGCCACUAAUGAUGCUGUGUUGGCUGUUGGUGCUGCGGGAGGCGAGGGCUGUGUGCUCACCCUGCAGAAUGCCGGGAGCUGCAAUGGGAAGAGCAAUGUCCCAACAAUUCCUGGGGCUGUCCAGCUAUCAGGACAAGUAAACUGUGAUGUAAGAGCUGCUCUUCUGUCUCUGUGAAAGCUUUUCCAAGGGGCCUCAGAAAACACAGGAGAGGAAGAGCUGGCUGUGGCAGCAGGAAGAUGGAUCCUCCUGUAAACCCAGUGAGUGCCAGCUCAGAGCCAAAAACCCUGUAACAACCUGGUCCUGCAGAGGACAGCUGAGAGGUACAACUUUGAAUGAAGGAGAGGGAAGAAACCAGGAUAACUUGUGUGUGCCUUUUCCUUCCAUGUGAAUAUUGCAUGGGCAGUUCAUCCCUAAAACAAGCUGCCAGCCUGCAGCACCCAAUGUCACCAAGUCACCAAGGCAGGCCCUCAGUGUAGGCACAUAAAGGUGAGGGGGCUGUUGGGAUCUGCCCAGUGACAAUUACACACAAACUACAGCAGUUGAAAUAUGUAUUCCAAAGGAACAUGGAAUUAUAGUAAUUCCAGUGAGGCAUGGGAUAGCUCACAGCCUCAAUGGCCUGGUGGAUAUGUAUAAUGCUCCCAUGUUUCUUACCAAUUUAGGUGGAGGUCUUAUUCUCUUACCAAAACCAGAUUCUUCCUAAUUGAUCUGUGUAUUUGUUAAUUUUACCCCUGCUAUUUUAAAAUUAUUUUGUUCUGUGUACCAGAGAGCAAAUGCAGCCUAGAUUAGACUGCGUAGACCAGAGUCAAGGGUACCACAGCUGUGAAUAAAGUAGCUGUGUUUUGUGCAAAAGAUGUCUAAUUCAUUAUAGAGUUUCUCCUCUCUGCCUUCUCCUCCCUUCUGUAUGGACCUGCAGGAAACCACCCCUUGAGACCACAAGGUGAAGCCCAGAGGCAGCUCAUCAUGAUCUUGGUGACUGUGGUUUCUUUGACAAUGUCUCUAAAAGCUAUUUCUACUGAGAGGUAACAGCCUGCAUUUGAAAAAAAAAAAAAAAAAUUAAAAAUCUCUAACUUGUGGGAAUGGUCCCAAAUCUAAGCCCCUCAAUGCUUCAGGUUGGAAACUGGUCUGUAUGGUUGUGGCGUCACUGCAGUACUGCUGCUCUGGGAAGGGCACAGUGCUCCCUCCCUGUGCCAUGCAGCCCAGCACUCACACCCUGAGCAUGAAACUUAGGGAGAAGGAACGGCUGAGGGUUUGUUUUGCUUGUUUUGCUCCUCACAUGAAGCUGUACAUUUCCAGAGCACAACAUCAAAGCUCAGCUCUGCUCCUGUGCUGCUAGCAGAGAUGUUCAGCAAGUUUGUCUGCUUUGUAAUGGGAUAAUGAAAGGUGUGAAGAAAUAUGCAAACAAGUAAUGAAAGAAACCAAAUAGAUUAAAAUCAGAAGGUUGAAGUGCUUUCCCCCCCUUUCUUUAUCUUUUCUUAUUUUUUUAUUUCUUUUCCUUUCUCGUUUUUUUUUCCUUUCUUCUUUUACCCCCGUUCUUUUCGUGUUUUG
rnacentral:lncRNA from 1 species